UUGGAACCCCGACUCCUGUCGCUGGUCUGUAAUUUGGCUGUGCAGCCAGGACGGCAGAACAAAGGAUUUCAGCUCCUCCAACUUCAGGUCCAAGCAUCCUCUGGAGGAGACAUUGGAUGGACAUUAAAGGGAGGGUGAUGGUCUCGUCCGUGUGCCUAGUGAGGCCGAAGCAGGAUGGGGAAAGGGGCCUUCGCUAUACCUGUAGUCAUCGCUGGCAGCCAGGUCUCGGAUGUCCUCCUCAAUGAGAAGGAAUGAUGCGAGUGCAAGGCGGCUGAGAAAGCACAGACAACUGGAGCUCCUAGCCACACUGACAGGGGCCCAGAGGCUCGGCCACCGUCAGUGUCCACACAAGCAUACCUUGGGGCCUUCUCGGCGGACCGGCUCACAGGAUUUCGGUCUCCAUCUGCUCAGAAGGAGAGACAGCAGCUGCCCUGAGCUCAACCUGGAUGUAAGUGGCUUCCUGAUGUCCCUCAAGUAGCACUAAUG
rnacentral:lncRNA from 1 species